CGUCAGCCGAAACCUUUUUCUCCAUUGGCGGCCGAUCCUAUUCCUUGUCUCCUUCCUCCUUUAAAAGGGCAGUGAAACCUCUGUCAAAGGCAAAGAGCUUGUGGAGGAGUAGUCACGCUUGGGAUCUUAGACCCACGGGUCUAAGCAUUUAUUUAUGUAUAUAGGUGACUGUGAGCCUAUGGCUCUGCUACUACAGUAGUGGUCUCCACUGUCCGACCUAGCGAGAGGCGGCAUGGUAGACUGGCUGAGGUAUGAUACCCAUUCAGGAGGCGCGGAGAAAACCUAAAUUGGGAGUGGGUGGAAACAUCCACUGAUUUUGAAACACUGUGUUUCACCACAUGAGUGGACUCAGUGGCCAACAUUAAGGUGGGCUUGAUAUCGUCAAGGUGGUGAUUGUUAGAGUUGUGGCGCUAGGUCGUUGUGCUGGGCUACACUUUCCUCUUAUCUUUUCCCUCAAGUUGAUUUAGGUUGGGUUACUUUCUCAUUGUUAAACUUGAUAGUCGGAUCCACUAAUGUGUAAUAAAUGAUUUGCUAUUUGUCGUUCUCAGUUUUUUUUAACAUUUCCC